GAUGAACGCUGGCGGCGUGCCUAACACAUGCAAGUCGAGCGAUUUACUUCGGUAAAGAGCGGCGGACGGGUGAGUAACGCGUGGGUAACCUGCCCUGUACACACGGAUAACAUACCGAAAGGUAUGCUAAUACGAGAUAAUAUGCUUUUAUCGCAUGGUAGAAGUAUCAAAGCUCCGGCGGUACAGGAUGGACCCGCGUCUGAUUAGCUAGUUGGUAAGGUAACGGCUUACCAAGGCGACGAUCAGUAGCCGACCUGAGAGGGUGAUCGGCCACAGUGGAACUGAGACACGGUCCAAACUCCUACGGGAGGCAGCAGUGGGGAAUAUUGCACAAUGGGCGAAAGCCUGAUGCAGCAACGCCGCGUGAGCGAUGAAGGCCUUCGGGUCGUAAAGCUCUGUCCUCAAGGAAGAUAAUGACGGUACUUGAGGAGGAAGCCCCGGCUAACUACGUGCCAGCCGCCGCUGUAA
rnacentral:rRNA from 1 species